GCCCCGGCUAACUACGUGCCAGCAGCCGCGGUAAUACGUAGGGGGCGAAGCGUUGUCCGGAAUUAUUGGGCGUAAAGGGUACGUAGGCGGCUUGACACGUUUAGCGUUUAAAGUGGGGGCUCAACUCCCAUUUGCGUUAAAAACGGUGAAGCUUGAGUGGUAGAGGGGAUCGUGGAAUUCCUGGUGUAGCGGUGAAAUGCGUAGAGAUCAGGAAGAAUACCAGUGGCGAAAGCGACGGUCUGGAUACCAACUGACGCUGAGGUACGAAAGCGUGGGGAGCAAACAGGAUCAGAUACCCUGGUAGUCCACGCUGUAAACGGUGGGUACUAGGUGUGGGAUCCAUUCCACGGAUUCUGUGCCGUAGCUAACGCAUUAAGUACCCCGCCUGGGGAGUACGGCCGCA
rnacentral:rRNA from 1 species